rnacentral:rRNA from 1 species
GCACCACAAGGGGUGGAACCUGCGGUUCAAUUGGAUUCAACGCCGGACAACUCACCAGGGGCGACAGUUGGCUGAAGGCCAGGUUGACGACUUUGCUGGACUAGCUGAGAGGUGGUGCAUGGCCAUCGUCAGCUCGUACCGUGAGGCGUCCUGUUAAGUCAGGCAACGAGCGAGAUCCUCGCCCCUAGUUGCCAUCGGUGGGAAGCCGGGCACUCUAGGGGGACCGCUGGCGCUAAGUCAGAGGAAGGAGAGGGCGACGGUAGGUCAGUAUGCCCCGAAUCCCCUGGGCUACACGCGGGUUACAAUGCGCAGGACAAUGAGAUGCAACCCCGUAAGGGGGAGCCAAGCCCCUAAACCUGCGCUCGGUUCGGAUCGAGGGCUGUAACUCGCCCUCGUGAAGCUGGAAUCCCUAGUAAUCGCGUGCCAACACCGCGCGGUGAAUGCGUCCCUGCUCCUUGCACACACCGCCCGUCAAGCCACUCGAGUGGGGUCCGGAUGAGGUCAGUUCAAGUUGGACUGCUCGAAUCCAGUUUCUGCAAGAGGGGCU